GGCAACCCAAAUAUUUGAGGAGGAAGAAGAAGUGCAGACGCUUUAUUCGUGUAACCAAAUACUAACUAAAGAAGCAGAAACUGCUGGACGCCCAUUGGUGCAGGUGUUCUUACUGUACACGUCUUUAGAAAAGCUGCAGAGAGAGGGAACAGCCAUGAGUCUGCUGUGAUAAUGGAUCGCAGCAGGGCAGACAGGAGCAGAACUCGAAGAUGUGGUAACUACAACAACGUAGUGGAGCCCGAGUACGACGUGGUGGACGACCAAGAGGAAGUGCACAAUGUGCGCAUAUUUCCUGCCAGGCCCAUAAAUGAUGAGAGAGAGUACGCAGUCUGCUGCUGCGGUGCACUACUGGGACUGGCAUCGACCGAGUUACAAGAAUGAUACAAACUCAAAGAGUGUUUAAACUGUCAACUAACAGUGGAACUACUGUCAUUACUGCCACUGAUGAAAGCGUGGCGAUCACAGUUUCUUUUGCUUUCAAG
ensembl:lncRNA